UACCAAAUGUGUUGGCUUACAAUAAUUUGUUAGUUUCCCAUCCCUGGCUUUUUGCCCUUUUGCUGAUGAAAGCGCCACCAAGCGGCGUUUCGUUGAACCACCAAACAAACGUCAAACGGCAAACUGAACGAAAGCUCAUGCACAUUUUUAACGAAACUAUUGUCAACAACAGGCAUCAUACGGUGAUGCCAAAAAGGAUCGUCUGCAGAAAAGUAAAGCAUACCGGUAUCUGCAAAAUCGUGUAAGAAAACAGAGCAACACGGAACAGGUGGCAGUUUUCCCGGCGAUAAGACACCGGUCCAGCGAGUCUCCCAUCUCGAGCAGCGGUGCAGGUUGGUGGUGUGAGGCAAGCUUACUCGGCACAAACAAGUGGUGGCGGCCGCGAUGCAAACCACGAUGGACGGCGAGGGAUGCGAUGAGACGCUAACGACGUACGGGAUGAGUUCGUCUACCGCGAUCGGCUCAAGCCGGCUGAGCUUCGAAAACAGUGCCUCGUUCGAGCUGAGCCGUAAGAAACGCCGCAUAUCCGGCCCGGGGUGUGAUAGGACCACCGACACGAUGUACGAAGGGAACGUUAGCGGCGAUUCGUUUUCGACAACUGCGACCGGCUACACCACCACGACGCAGGUGGCCCAAAGUCCGUGGGAGACGCGUCGUAUAAAGGCCGAUCUGAUCGAGGCACGCUCAAGGAUAACGUUCCUGAAGAAGGAAAUUGAACACCUCAACACGGAAAUGGCAACGACGCAGCUGCGCAACCAGCACAAAAUAUCCUCGCUCGAGAAGGAGCUAGGCUUCAGCGGGCAGAAGGUGACCGAUCUCGAGAAGCACCUGCAGCUCGUCCGCAAGCGGGAGCACGUUGCCAAGCAGGACCUGAACAAAGUGCGCACCCAGCUCCAGCAGCUCAAAACCGAAGCCGACGGGCGGCAGUUCGAGCUGCGGCAAGCGCUGCAGCGGCUGGAGCAGAAGUACGAUUCGGACACCGGCGAGCUGAACACGGAAAUACGCGACCUCACCACCCAGGUGAACGACCUCGAGCAGCAGCUGACGCUCGCGCAGGACGAGCUGGACACGACGCGCGAAAUCAACGACACGCUCCAGAGCAAGGCGGACGCGUACGAUCAAACGAAGCGCGAGCUGGAAGCGACGCAGGACAGGCUGGCGGAGGCGGAAUCGCGCGUGAAAACGCUCGAGUACGAGGUGGGCAGCUACGAGGACUGGAAAAGCCUGUCGAAGGUGUCGGCCGACCGGCUGGCGAACACCACCGAGCUCGAGAAGGAGAACGUGCGGCUGAAGGACCAGCUGAAGAACCUGCAGAGCCUGAUCGGCGACAAGCUGCUGCUCGAGGAGCAGGUGGCCAGCUCGCAGGCGCGGCUGAAGGAUCUGGAGCAGAAGGAUGCGCUGUCGGCGGCGCUGGAGGUGCGCGUGAAGGAGCUCGAGCGGGAGCUGGUCGAGUGGCGCCAGCUCGGCAAGGACUACACGCCCAAGGAGAGUCUGGUGAGCGCGAAAACGAUGCGCAACCGCAUCGAGCAGAUCCUGCAGAAGGAUCUGGUGCUGGCGAACGAGCAGUCGUCCGUGCAGACGGAGAAGCACCAGAUACAGGGGCGCAUCGAGGAGCUGCAGUCGGAGAAUGCGCUGCUGAACGGGCGGCUCGCUGACUACAAGCGGGCCCAGGAAGGUUUGCAGAGCAUCGUGCAUCGGGCGCAGAAGAAGCUGAACCUGGUGACGGGCGAGCGGGACUAUCUCAAGCAGCUACUGGAAAGCUACGAGAAUGAUCUUACGAUUAGCCAUUCCGUCGUGGGCAGUGAGGCGGACAAGAAGCAGCUAAGGGCACGGAUCGAAAUGCUGGAAAAGACGCUGACCGGGUACAAGGAUCUGUGCCAGAAGCAGGAGGCCGAUCUGCAAGCGAACAAAGUGUUGCCCGAUAUCAGCUUCGUACUAACGUCCGAGCAGUACGAGAAGCUGCGCAAAGAGAUUGACGAGCUGCGGCUGGAGAAUGAGCGCCUGACGCGGCGCAAGGACGAGCUGGAGGUGGAGGUAGAAAACCGAACGCUAAGGGCACAGAUAAACCGCCCGUGCCCGAGCCAAACAACGAAGCUGGUGCGCUACAUCAACAGCCCGGCGACGGAAGAUAUCGUGGCGGAGCAUAACACGAAGCUGAAGCUGAUGGCCGAAAUCGAGCGGCUGAAGCUGCACAUACAGCGGCUGCAGGAAACGAACCAAGAUCUGACCGAGUGUCUGCACAACACGGACGAGACGGGCAACAUGACGAUGAAGAUAAAGGAAUCGGUCGACCUGCGGAUGCAGCUGAAGGAGCUGCAGGCCAAGUACGACCAGCGGAAGGAGCUGUACCAGCAGUCGUCGGAAGACUUCCGCACCGUGGUGAAUCUGCUGUUCGGCUUCAAGAUUGACCGCAUCAGCGGUAGCUACUUUCAGCUGCGCAGCCAGUACGCGGAAAGCCCGGACGAGUACCUGAACUUUGCGCUCGCACCGGACGGCAGUGUGCUGACGCUGCUCGAAUCGGACUAUGCCGCGUCGCUGCGCGAUCUGGUCGAGACGCAGUUUAAAACGCACAACUCGGUGCCCGUCUUUCUCAGUUCGCUCACGCUCGAGCUGUUCAAUCGGACCACCAUGACGGUGCAGUACUGUAACGCCGAGUGAAUGUGGGAAGUAAGAAGCUGGUCCAGCCAAACUGCUAUCAGAGAUCAUUCAUAAGACACCCACCCGAAACGUCAAGCAAAACAGAAAAAAUAGUCAGCAGAUCCCCGUUAUCGAGCCCGUUUGCUGGCUCCAAACAAGGACACACAGUUCAGUGCACCUUUUUUUCCACGCAUAUAUCUAGAAUGGUCUGGAAAGUUGCAUUGCUGCUGCUUGCCGUUUCACUUAAAUUUCAUUAACGUCAAAAUAAGGCGCCCCACCCUCCCAAAAGUCAUAUUAAUUUUACUGGAUUAAAGUAGGCACUGUGUAGAAGGCUAUGCAAUACCGCAUAGAGAGAUAGAGAGCCGGGUAAGAAGCAUCUCGUAACUGUCCAGUCAUUUCAUUAGGAGAAAAUGUGUAGUGAAGGUGGCUUUUGUUGAACUGUGUUGAAGCCGUUUUUUUAUUUUAAACUAGAAAGUGUGGAACAUUGGAUGGUGUGCAGUGCAGCAUUUUGUUUUGUUGUGUACAUUACAAAUUGAAUAAAGCAAAAAUCAGCAAUGCUAGAAGGCAAGAAGGGUAUAACGAGGUUUCCCCACGAUGAUACCAAGAUUGUAAAGAUUUAAUAAUUAAAAAUGAGCAGGAGUGAGUGCCUGCGCGUAGUGUUUUGUAGUACAUCACAUUUUUCAGCUUUUAUUUUGGGUAUCGGUUUUUCGAUCAUGUCGACAAUCAAGAACUCAAGUACCACUUCCCAGUGUGGGCGGGAACGCAACCGGAAGAGAGUCACCGUUUUACAAAAACGACAACCCCGGUGCACACCGGAGAGUUAAUUCUGUCAGGCGACGAAGAAGUGAACUAGAGCGGCAAUCCAGCUUUCAAAGAC